UUGCCCUAGUAACGGCGAGUGAAGCGGCAACAGCUCAAAUUUGAAAUCUGGCUCUUUUAGAGUCCGAGUUGUAAUUUGCAGAGGGCGCUUUGGCUUUGGCAGCGGUCCAAGUUCCUUGGAACAGGACGUCACAGAGGGUGAGAAUCCCGUACGUGGUCGCUGGCUAUUGCCGUGUAAAGCCCCUUCGACGAGUCGAGUUGUUUGGGAAUGCAGCUCUAAAUGGGAGGUACAUUUCUUCUAAAGCUAAAUAUUGGCCAGAGACCGAUAGCGCACAAGUAGAGUGAUCGAAAGAUGAAAAGCACUUUGGAAAGAGAGUCAAACAGCACGUGAAAUUGUUGAAAGGGAAGCGCUUGCAGCCAGACUUGCUUACAGUUGCUCAUCCGGGUUUCUACCCGGUGCACUCUUCUGUAGGCAGGCCAGCAUCAGUUUGGGCGGUAGGAUAAAGGUCUCUGUCACGUACCUCCUUUCGGGGAGGCCUUAUAGGGGAGACGACAUACUACCAGCCUGGACUGAGGUCCGCGCAUCUGCUAGGAUGCUGGCGUAAUGGCUGUAAGCGGCCCGUCUUGAAACACGGACCAAGGAGUCUAACAUCUAUGCGAGUGUUUGGGUGUCAAGCCCGAGCGCGUAAUGAAAGUGAACGGAGGUGGGAACCCGCAAGGGUGCACCAUCGACCGAUCCUGAUGUCUUCGGAAGGAUUUGAGUAAGAGCAUGGCUGUUGGGACCCGAAAGAUGGUGAACUAUGCUUGAAUAGGGUGAAGCCAGAGGAAACUCUGGUGGAGGCUCGCAGCGGUUCUGACGUGCAAAUC
rnacentral:rRNA from 1 species